CAUACCGAAAGGUAUGCUAAUACGAGAUAAUAUGCUUUUAUCGCAUGGUAGAAGUAUCAAAGCUCCGGCGGUACAGGAUGGACCCGCGUCUGAUUAGCUAGUUGGUGAGGUAACGGCUCACCAAGGCGACGAUCAGUAGCCGACCUGAGAGGGUGAUCGGCCACAUUGGAACUGAGACACGGUCCAAACUCCUACGGGAGGCAGCAGUGGGGAAUAUUACAAGGUGGGCGAAAGCCUGAUGCAGCAACGCCGCGU
rnacentral:rRNA from 1 species